GUGCAAUGUACGAGUGGCGAACGGGUGAGUAACACGUGAGAAACCUGCCUCGGAGACCGGGACAACCAUUGGAAACGAUGGCUAAUACCGGAUGUCCUCAUUUGAUCGCAUGAUCUUUUGAGGAAAUGAUCCGUCGCUCCGGGAGGGUCUCGCGGCCUAUCAGCUUGUUGGUGAGGUAAUGGCUCACCAAGGCAUCGACGGGUAGCUGGUCUGAGAGGACGAUCAGCCACACUGGGACUGAGACACGGCCCAGACUCCUACGGGAGGCAGCAGUAGGGAAUCUUGCACAAUGGGCGAAAGCCUGAUGCAGCGACGCCGCGUGGGGGAUGAAGGCCUUCGGGUUGUAAACCCCUUUCAG
rnacentral:rRNA from 1 species